UUAAAUUGAAGAGUUUGAUCAUGGCUCAGAUUGAACGCUGGCGGCAGGCCUAACACAUGCAAGUCGAACGGUAACAGGAAGAAGCUUGCUUCUUUGCUGACGAGUGGCGGACGGGUGAGUAAUGUCUGGGAAACUGCCUGAUGGVGGGGGAUAACUACUGGAAACGGUAGCUAAUACCGCAUAACGUCGCAAGACCAAAGAGGGGGACCUUCGGGCCUCUUGCCAUCGGAUGUGCCCAGAUGGGAUUAGGUUGUUGGUGGGGUUACGGUCCACCAAGGCGACGAUCACUAGCUGG
rnacentral:rRNA from 1 species